CAUGUAGGCGGUUUUUUAAGUCUGGAGUGAAAAUGCGGGGCUCAACCCCGUAUGGCUCUGGACACUGGAAGACUUGAGUGCAGGAGAGGAAAGGGGAAUUCCCAGUGUAGCGGUGAAAUGCGUAGAUAUUGGGAGGAACACCAGUGGCGAAGGCGCCUUUCUGGACUGUGUCUGACGCUGAGAUGCGAAAGCCAGGGUAGCGAACG
rnacentral:rRNA from 1 species